UGGGAAUCUUGCACAAUGGGCGAAAGCCUGAUGCAGCAACGCCGCGUGCGGGAAGACAGCCCUAGGGUUGUAAACCGCUUUCAGCAGGGAAGAAACUGACGGUACCUGCAGAAGAAGAUGCGGCCAACUACGUGCCAGCAGCCGCGGUGACACGUAGGCAUCAAGCGUUAUCCGGAUUUAUUGGGCGUAAAGAGCUCGUAGGCGGUUCGGUAAGUCGGGUGUGAAAACUCUGGGCUCAACCCAGAGAGGCCACUCGAUACUGCUGUGACUUGAGUACGGUAGGGGAGCGGGGAAUUCCUGGUGUAGCGGUGAAAUGCGCAGAUAUCAGGAGGAACACCAGUGGCGAAGGCGCCGCUCUGGGCCGUAACUGACGCUGAGGAGCGAAAGCAUGGGUAGCAAACAGGAUUAGAUACCCUGGUAGUCCAUGCCGUAAACGUUGGGCACUAGGUGUGGGUCUCAACCGAACGAGAUCCGCGCCGUCGCUAACGCA
rnacentral:rRNA from 1 species